AUUCCUGGUGAAGCACUCUUCAAUGGCGGAUGGAGAUGACACAACAACAAAGGAACGGCAGCCGAAUUGGAGAAAGAAAAUCGGACCAUAUCUUGAUGAUAAUGAAGUCAAGUCUUCGUAGAGUGAGUUCUUGAUAAGGUAAAGAUGGCCAAUUAUUGGCAAAGCAAGUGGACUUGGUGGUAACUUCUUGUUCUUGACAUGGUUGAAUAGCAAGUUUUUGGAGAUGAGAAGUAAAGGUAAAGAACACAAUGAGAUGGUGACGAGGUAGUAGCAGAGAUUUUCCAUGGCCUAAAGCUGAAAGUCACACGAGACUUCUUAGUUAACUUCUGCUAUAUUUGUCCCCUCUUGCAUUGAUAAUGUGCAAUUAUUCAUGUGCUGAAAAGUCAAACUGAUAAUGCCAAAGUCAUUGUUUAUUGGAUAAUGCGUAAUAAUUCGUGAAACGUGAAAUUCAUGACGAAAUUGUGGGAGGAACUUUGUCGUCUAUGAGCUCACUAAUUGAGAUGAACUAGGAGGUAUAACUGCCGAGUUGCGCGGUGGAAUAGCCAGCAUGUAUGCCUAUUUAGGCAUGAUUAAGUAGGCAUUACAUGGAUAGUCAUAAUGUCAUUGGAAUAAAUAUCUUGGGUUACUUGCAUGUGUUUUAUUUAUUGAGAUUUAUAUACCUUGUAAUUUAAUCAUUAAGAUAUUUAAGAAUAUUUAGAAGAAAAUUUAAAAAUAGCUUUCAAUCCAAAAGCACAAUUGUAAGACAGCUUAUUAGAUAGACAAUAUAGAUUAGGAGGAUGAGGUAAGCAAGUAACUGAACUAAAAAUUAAUAUCAAAAGAAAAAACAAUACAAAAGGUAAUACAAAAAUGUAGCUGAACAAUAUAAAAUCCAAGUUCAUGAUAGAGCGAAUAAGGAAGAAAAAUGUGAAACUCAACAAAAGGUUAAAUCAAAUGAAGCUAUUUAGAAAUAUGAAACCAGUGAUCGGUACAUUGCUUCGGCCAACAACAAUUGCAUCAAUAAUUUAGACUUUUAGUAACAUAAUACUUGAAUUCUUAAUGUGUGAUGCCAGGGUACAUAAUCUCUAUUCCAUUGGCUCCAAAGAUCAGAAUAGCUAAUGAUUUUCUUGCUUCUUACAGAUCACUUGAUUAAGCAUAUAGGAUCAUAGAAAUCAAUUUAUAUGCAUUAAUUAAUAAGCAGAAAAAUAUUACUCAAGUCUGAAAGUUAGGUGCUCUGGUAGAUAAAAGGAGAAGGUAAUAAGGAAAUAUACCAAAUAACAAUAAAUAUCCAGAAGCCACAUGGUCCAAAACCUGUUGGUGCUAUCAAUGCAGAAUAUCUCAACUAUGUUAACAGAAGCAUGUGUUUGAAGCAAAAACAUCAAAAUGCAACUCUAGGCAUACACAUAAGCCAAUGAAUGCAUAAGUUGUACAUCUGUCUGAAUUUGUCUAAUCUUGACAUAAUCCAAAAUAUUUCCUACUACAUCAAUGUAGCUUCAAGGAGUACCAUGGAUAAAGAAAGAUCAGACAAGUCUUUUUUUUUUUUUUUUUUUUUGGCAUUGCCAGAUUUAUCAACUUCUAUAGAUUCCCUUCCUAUCUCUGUAGCAUCUCUAAACCUUGCUGUGAGGCGAACUUGUAAUCGUGAAGAAGAUCGUUCUCCCUCUGAAAUAAAAAAGCGUGCCAUGUUAAUAAAUUGGAUAAGUAAAGAUUCAAGGGGGACGGAAAAAUUAAUGUAAAAAAUGACCUGAUGCAUGAGUUUGAGCUAGUGUUACAAACGAACCGAACUGCUCGUGAGCGGCUCGAGUCAAGCUCGAUUAGAGCUCGAUUAAUAUUGAGUUCGAGCUGGCUCGAGUCGAAAUCGAGCUCGAACUCGAAUUCAAAAUAUUAAACUCGCGCGAGCUCGAGUAUAUAUAUAAUUUUUUUUUAUUUUAAGUGUAUAUAUAUUUUUUUAUUUUUUAUUUUAAGUAUAUAUAUUUUUUAUUUUUUUAAUUUUAAUAGUAAAAUUACAUAUAUAUAUCCUUAAUAUUUUAUUAUUUACUAAAAAAUAUUAUUUUAUUUAUUUUUUAAAAAAUAAAAUAAUUAUUUUUUUUCGAGCUCGAGCUCGAGGUUGAAAUUGUCAGCUCGUCGAGCUCGAAUUUGAGUUCGAGUUCAAUGAAAUUAUGUCGAGACUCGGCUCGAUUAGGCCAAAACUCAACUCGGCUCGACUCUACUCGGCUCGUUUUCAGCCCUUUGAGCAUUCUAUUCUUCAGCCUGGACAAGUUCAUUGUUGGCACUGAUGUGGAAAUCUUUGUUGCCAGAAGACGUUGCCGUGCUUUCUCCAAAGUAAUAAGCAACCGUGUAAUGGUUAUAUCCAUUACCAUCUCUGAUAUUUCCUGAUUUCAGUUGUACAAUGAACUUUUCAAGCUCUUUAUGCACCUUUUCAAGCGGCAAUUGUUCAUUCUAUAAGUAAAACCAUAAACUUGAAUUAGUACGCAUAGUCUAUAUAUGAUUCCGACAAACUUGUUCACACAGAUAGAGACACAUGGCAAUGGUGACUUAUCAAUUUUCCUAGAGGGCAUGUAAAAAGGUUACACAAAACACCAGCCAAGGAAAUCUCUUGUAAUCAGCAGGAAAAAAAAUCAAAUAAAAAGACUCAAUCUUUCAAGGUAAAAACCAUAACGAGAAGGAAAGGCAAAGCAUAUACAUUUUUUGACUAUACAAAACUCCAUCGUCUGACAAGCUGAAAUGCAAACUCAAUGACAGGCACACAAGUACCAAAAAGAAACCAAAAGAAAUAGCCAAGGAAAAAUUGUAAGAGAAGCUGCAAUUCUUACAAAAGCUCAACCAAGCUCAAGAUCCAAGCAAUUAAAAAUUUUUCUGCCUAGGAAAAAAUCUAAAAGCUUAACACAUCAACAGACGCAUAACAGGAGAGACCGACAACAGCACCGAGCAAAGACACAGUCGCAACCUAUAUCUAGCAAUAGUUUCAUAAGCACACCGGUACCAGAAACAAUUCUUAGGAAGACUCAACCAUUUCAAGAAAAAUAAAAGCAAAGACCCAGAACAACACCAAGCAAAGAAAAAGCCACAAACCAGUAAGAUUAAUCAAAGCCAAUGCAUAAAGGAAUCGUAAUCAGAGCUCGCAAGUAUAGGAUCCCUAAAAGGGCCGAGUACUCAGUGAAACAGGAGGAAAGAAACGAAGAAGUUUAAGCCAAGGUUGUAAGCAACUCGGAUAGAGAAGAUAGUGAGAGGGAGAAGCUCGAAAAGGGGAAAAAUUGACGCAUAAUUGAGAUGCCAUCUCCAAAAAUUUACACCCCAUUGAUAGAGGUGAACACUGCAAAUUGCACCAAUCAUCAUUUAGGAAGAUGCUUCUAAUAGAUUCAGGCGUAGCAGCAGAAAGAGCUGAAAGAGGAAAGGAAAUCACAGGCGCAUAUCUCGUCCCCCUGAAGACGGGCCAGUCAGACAAUCUGUUUACCCGUAUAAAGUAAUAAUGAUGGACCACCCACAUGAUCCGCCUGCUUUAAAGAGACAAGUGCAAGUCACGUGACGACGACGAAAAGUUUGAAACCUCUUGGUGCAUUGUAUGUUAUGUUGACAAUUGGCAAGAAUUAUACAUUGAAAUAUAAAUAUAAUAAAGCUAGAGGAGUGGCGUUGGUGUAAAUUUUUUUUUUUUUUCCUUGCUAAUUUUGAACUUUCUUUUAUAUCCUUAUAAAAUCUAAUUUUUACCUUAAUUACCUAAUCAUAUUUUACCUACAUAAUUACUCAUAAUGGCCUUAAGUAUUUUAAGUACCACAUUACUAUAGACUUAUAAAUCAGAGUUCUUUAAUUUAUAUAAAUUGUAUGUAUGUGAAAAAUAAAAUUCAUAUAAUAUUAAUUUAUGUUAAUUAUUUUUAAAUUACACAUAGAUUAAGUAUGCCUUUAACGCUUGUCUCCAAUAACUGGGACAUCAAUCAAUAGCAGAAUAAAGGAGUUUUCCGCUAUUGAUUUACCAAAAGAGACAUUGCCCGUUCCAUGGUUUCUUCUGAAGUACUUGUUCCGGCCGUGACCAAUGCCUAAACAAAAUUUAUAAAGAAGAAACACUUGGUCGAAGGAAUGAGGAUAAAUGUUAGAAUCUCUGAUCUAAUGAACCGUUAGGCUUCUUUGGAAUUUAGUCUAAUUGAAGAUUGUUUUUUUUUUUUUCAAUUUAGUUUGCUGGAAUAAUUGAAUGACUUUAACCCUAUAAUAAUGAUUCCAAAAUGAUGGGGAUUAAUAUUUUUAAUUUGAAUUUGAACAUUAAAUUUUGGAUAUGUGACGUGCAUUUAAACCCACUAAUAUAGGCACUGUUAGGAGAUAAAAGAUUUAUCCAAACAAUUGAAAGAAAACAAGAGAAUAGAUGUGGUUGUUGGCAUCAUCUAACUUGAAAAAAUUAAGGAACGUUCCAAUAGUUACAGCGAUGAUCUUCUUGUUUCGCUUGUGAAGCAGAUAGAUACUAGAAGUCUUACCAGUACGAUUCCUUUGACAAUAUCCAGGGUGUAGAACUCAGGGUCAGAUUCUUGCAAAGACAAUAAUGAUUGGAUUAUGGUCUUGCUCUGAUCAGGUGAUGAGGCUGAACCACUUCAGUUCUUCAACUUUCCUCACUCAGAUCGUGCAUGAAAUCAUCAAACUUCCCCUGGUAAUUCUUCAACAUCUUCCUAUACGUUUUCCCAAGACCAAGCCACCUCAUUAUUGGCACAUAUUGACAAAUGUCCGCGGGCAACUUUGCCGAGAACAUAUCAAUCGACAUUAUUGGAAAUAGUAAUCAAGAUUAAUGUCCAGUAGAGGACCUCUGAAUCCAAAGCCAUGCUGGAGAAGCAAAGGCAAGUGAUGUAGCUAUGUAAGUUUCACACUUUCACUCUUAUCGAUCUGACAUAGGCAGUAAUCAAAUCAAUGGCCAAAGCGACAGCAACAGUAGCCUGAUAUGUAUAGAUGGCAAAAGAGGAGAUUCCAUAGAUAUCUUCCCGCCUGCCACAGAAUUAGUAUGACCUUCCACCAACGUUGGAUUUUGUCACUAAGAUACUUGCAUUCCCCCAGAAACAAACACUAUAAGACAAUAGAUACAGUUGUUAAAAGUUAGCAUUGUUUUUUAGAUUUGGUCACAAAUUCUCGCACAAAACUUGGCCAAAGUGACUUGUGAUUUGAGAGAUGUGUACAUUUAUUCCUUUUGCACAUUAUGCGCAUUAAUCAAGUUGUUUAAUGUGAACACACAGAUCGAAUAUUAGUUGUAAACAGAAAUAAAGAUUUUAUACACGAAGGAUGGCUAAGUUCUAGUACAAUAAUUAAGAAUAGUCUUGCCUGCCACUUCAUGAUAACGACAUGAUAGCUUCUGCUACCACAAUUCACUGCUUCUAGUUGGCUUUCAAAGUUGAGAGAGAAGUUGGAUUGAUUCCUGGCGUGGAGCGCAUAGGGCCUCCAAAUGGUUAGCCUUCUUCAGACUGAUUCUGUUGCUAAAGUUAACGUCCAAUUCACCAUCCUCUUCAACUUUAUCCCAAUCAAAACACUGGAUGAAUGUACCCACUGCCAAUGAGACAUUCCGAAUGCCUAGAUUGGCUCCGGGACAAGCUCUCCUCCCUAUCCCAAAUGGUAAAAACUUGGAAUUGAACUCUUCGUUAUCCAUUAAUCCCUUCGCUUCGAAUCUUUCUGGCAUGAAUUUCUCGGGCUGCUCCCAGAGUUUUGGAUCCCUAUGUACGGCCCAGGCAUUAGCUAAAACAAUUGUACCUUUUGGAAUAUCAUACCCCCCGACUCGGCAGUCUUCAGAUGCAUGAUGAGGUAUCAGAAGUGGUGCCGCGGGGUACAGUCUCAAUGUCUCAUUGACAACACAACGAAGAUAGGGAAGCUUUGGAAUAUCAGAUUCAUCCACCAGCCUUCCAUGUCCUACGCUGUUGUCAAUCUCAGUCCUUAGUUUCUGUAGUGCCUUCGGGUGAUUCAGUAAAAGCAACAUAGCCCAUUCAGUGGUCAGUGUGGACGUUUCUCUUCCUGCUGUAAGCAUUAUCUGAAUCAACGGUUGCUUUUGUUAGUCAAAAUAAAUAUGGCUAAAAUUAGGGUCGGAAAGAAUCCCAGAAAGGUUGCUUUUAAAUACGUUGUCCAACAGGAUCAUCCUUCUGAAAAGCUUUGCCAAGCACAAGCAAGGGAAAGGAUGAUGGCAAAUGACAACCAAUGCGCUCAAAUGCAUCAAAGCUGAAGCCAUUAUCAUUUCAUAAGAUUGAUUGUGAAAUUAAGGGUGGUUGUUUUCAGGAAUUUUGCUAAUUAAAAUUUCAUGCUAGAAACCUUAUCCACUAGCAUAACACAUAACAAAACUAAGCAUAAAGUAUCAGAUUACUAAUCUUAUCUUAGUAUCAGAAUCCAAAGUAUGGCAUAACGACUCUAUGCUAUAUACGGAUACAACUUAUUAAACUCAUGAUCCAAGUCAGUUGAUGCUAAAUUAAGCAGGACUUUUGUAAGAAGGCCGGUUGGAGGAACACUAACUCCACAUGAGUCUAUUUCUAAUUCAUUAUCAUAAUCAGAAUGAGCCAAGAGAAAAUAAAGGAAUUCACAAGCUCCAAAACUUCGUUAUCACCUAUAACGGAUCCUAGCUUCUCUUUAAGAAGAAUCGAUUGAUAAACAGUUUUCAACGAUCUGGUUAGAUCAAGUCUAUUUAAACUAUCAACCUUUACUCUUGAAAUAACAUCAAAAUAAAAUUCUUUUAACACUUAUUCCGAUUCCAAAAGAGUUCUUUAACAAGAUGUUCUUCAUAAGAAUAGCUUUAUUUGUCACUCUACCAGGACAUGUUAAUACAAGUUUGCCUGAUUCUUCCGGGGUCAGUCCAAUAUAAUUUUAGGAGUAAUUUUCGCCCCACUACAAUAUAUGUUGACAUGUAUCUUUGGGAUAGUUUUGAAUAGGUAAUAUAUUCACACGAAGAGGCCAUAAUUGAUGUGUGCCGCCUUCUAUUAGUUAGCUCCCACGGGCAAAGAAUCAAUUUCUAAAGGUUCAUAUAGAGCUCUUACUGUUGCCUCACAGGAUCGUAAUGAACUUAAUUGAUAACCAUAUUAACUUUAUAUUGCUGAAGAUAGCAAUUGUGAAAGUGAAACAAGUUAAAUGUAGAUUGGUGGUGGGCAAAAAGUAUAUUCUGAUAAGUGGGAUAAGCUCAUGAAGUAAGAAAGACGGAGAAAUUACAUUUUGCACUUACCAACGCAAUACCCUUUAUGAUGUCAUCUGAUAGAAAAUCUGAUUCUUUUUCCUUAGAAGCAAGCAGAUUUGCAAUCAAUGCCUUCUUCUCCUUGUCCAGCAGAGUAUCUGAAGAUUGAAAUUCGUCUAUGAAACCCUGAAAGAGUUUAUCUCUCUUCUUGUGCAAAGAGAUCAUUUUUUUUUCCAGUCCCUUGUAGCCAAUCCAUCUUAAUAUAGGAAAGAAGUCACACAAAUUCUGCGCAAUGCCUGAAGCAAACAUUUCCCUGAAUUCUUUAAUUAUUUGCAUCCCCAACUCCUCUCCAGCAUCCUCCUCUCUGAUGGAGCAUCGUCCAACAAGCAUCCUCAUGAUAACAUUGAGUGUAAAAACUGAAAUCCAAUAGUUCAAAUCAACUCUUAUUAGGCUUCCAUUCUUUGAAACUCUGUAAAUUGACCUGAGAAUCAUCUUAAUUUCUUCUUCCCUGAUAAAUGAAGUCCUCUGGAGGCUGUUGAAAGAGAAAGAUUCAACGACCAAGAGGCGACGAAGAACCCUCCACAAGUGGCCAUAUGGGGCUAUCCCAACGACUGUAUAGUUAUAGGAAAACCUGUCCCCUGCCAUGCCACGAGGACGGUUUGCAAGUAUGAUAUCAUUCCUGGUGAAGCACUCUUCAAUGGUGGAUGGAGAUGACACAACAACAAAGGAACGGCGGCCGAAUUGGAGAAAGAAAAUUGGACCAUAUCUUGAUGAUAAUGAAGUCAAGUCUUCGUAGAGUGAGUUCUUGAUAAGGUAAAGAUGGCCAAUUAUUGGCAAAGCAAGUGGACUUGGUGGUAACUUCUUGUUCUUGACAUGGUUAAAUAGCAAGCUUUUGGAGAUGAGAAGUAAAGGUAAAGAACACAAUAAGAUGGUGACGAGGUAGUAGCAGAGAUUCUCCAUGGCCUAAAGCUGAAAAUCACACAGAGACUUCUUAGUUAACUCCUGCUAUUUUUGUCCCCUAUUGCAUU
rnacentral:lncRNA from 1 species